rnacentral:misc_RNA from 1 species
UAAGCUGAUGAAUGAUGGAGAAGUCCAGUUCCAGAGAAGUUGGCUUGGUCGGUGACUUAUCCUUUUAUUCAUGCUGAUGUAUAGAAUUAUAACCUGUUUCAGGAUUGACUUUGCAGAGGGGGACUGUUUACUGGGAGAGGAUGGGUUAUUGUCCCCUGGCUGGAUUCUUCUUCCUUUCUCACAAUUCUUUUCUAGUUUAUCGGUUGUGUUAAAAUCUCUUUCAUACUUGUCUAGCUCUGCUUUGUGACUACCUGUCUUAAUCCGGGUCGUGAAUGCUCAAUAAUAUGAAGAGGUUUAUCAGUGUUCCAUUUGUUUAUUACUUGGUCUUAAUUCAGCACUUCAUCU